GAAAAUGAGAAACUUCAAAAGAGUCCUCUGUACAUUGUGGCAGUGUCUUAUGGAGGAAAAUUUGCAGUCACUCUUGGAUUGUCUGCACUAAAAGCUAUAGAAGACGGAAAAUUAAAGCUUAAACUUGGGAGGUUAACUGUUUUCUAAAAUCAUAAAAAAGCUUUAAUUUGCUUCGCUCCUCCUUCUCCGAAGAUCUGCUACAGUGAAGUAGGUGAUCAGGCAGUACUAAAUACUCUUUGGGAGAGAUAUGAGAGCACCACUGAUAAGGCUUACAAGCCUUCAUUUGGGCCCCACAAGUCCAGGGAGUGCUUGCAACUAAUCCUCAUCAUGCAAAACAGGUUGAAUUAUGCCCUUACAUACCGUGAAGUCAUUGCAAUUUGAUGCAGUGACAUGUUUUGGUCGAUGCAAAGGUUCUCACUGAUAAGACUUACCCUACAGGCUUCUUGGGCAGCUUAAAAUCCAAUUUAAGUUCGAGAUGGAUCCACCAUUUGGACAUGAUUUCCAUAAUUUUUUCCCCUUCAUUUAGCUUCUUUUAUAUU